rfam:Sorghum bicolor cultivar BTx623 chromosome 6, whole genome shotgun sequence.
AAACUUGAAGACGAGGAGAUGAUCUCUUACCUCCUCAAUGGACUGGAUCCAGAUUAUGAUCCAGUUGCGACGGCUGUUGCAGCUCGAGUGGAACCAAUUUCCAUUAGCGAACUGUUUACGCAGCUAAUCAGUCACGAGC